AUUGAACGCUGGCGGCAUGCCUUACACAUGCAAGUCGAACGGCAGCACGGGGGCAACCCUGGUGGCGAGUGGCGAACGGGUGAGUAACAUAUCGGAACAUACCCUAGAGUGGGGGAUAACGUAGCGAAAGUUACGCUAAUACCGCAUACGAUCUAAGGAUGAAAGUGGGGGAUCUUCGGACCUCAUGCUCAUGGAGUGGCCGAUAUCUGAUUAGCUAGUUGGUGAGGUAAAGGCUCACCAAGGCGACGAUCAGUAGCUGGUUUGAGAGAACGACCAGCCACACUGGAACUGAGACACGGUCCAGACUCCUACGGGAGGCAGCAGUGGGGAAUUUUGGACAAUGGGGGCAACCCUGAUCCAGCAAUGCCGCGUGAGUGAAGAAGGCC
rnacentral:rRNA from 1 species